AACCAACCUUUUCUGCUAACUACUCUCAUAUGCACCGCAAAUGUUUGUCUCCAACUUGACCACAGAAGCUUUUGGAACCAUAGAAAUUUAGAAAGAACGUACCAACUGUGCCAAUCCAACACCAUACUACUACAACUGCUACUUCCUCUGGAGCAUGCAUGUCAUUCCUUAAAAAAUAUCUUGGACCCUUUUGCCUUUGACAGUGGAAAAGGAUAAAAAGAUAAAACGGAUAGAAAUUCGAAUGGUCUUGUCUUGCUUUUGAGUUUCACAAGUACCAAAGGG
rnacentral:lncRNA from 1 species